UUAGAGAACGUUAUUACGCUGCAUAGUGGAUAACUAGGCUCUAAUGCCGAUGAAGGGCGUGGCAAGCUGCGAAAUGCCUUGGCGAGCUGCAUGCGAGCUUUGAACCAGGGAUUCCUGAAUUAUCCAAGAACGUUGGUUUUUGGAGGGCGACGCAGGGAACUGAAGCAUCUUAGUACCUGCAGGAAAAGAAAUCAAUAGAGAUGCUGUUAGUAGGGGCGACCGAAAGCAGCACAGGGCAAACCGAAUCCGUUAGCGUGAGUUAAUGGAAAUGUGGUGUUUGGGGCCUUUUACAACUUUAAGGAAAAGCUGAAGUGAAUUGGAAAAUUUUGCCUCAGAGAGUGAUAGCCUCGUAAGCGAAAACCGAGAAGUUGAUUUUUGGAUUCCCAGAGUAUAGUGCAUUGGAUGUUGCGCUAGAACAUUCCACUCAAUUUGUGGAAACCCUAAAUACAGAUUAGAGACCGAUAGCACACUAGUACCGAGAGGGAAAGUUGAAAAGCACCCUUAACAGGGAUUGAAAAGCACUUGAAACUAUGCAGUAACAUUCAAGACGCAGCAUGAAAGAAACGAUGCUUGCAGAAGCGAGCCUUGGCAACGGGGCAAGCGAUGCGAGUUGAUCAGUGUUGCGUCGUUCGUCAUGAAUCACGAGCAAGGGAGUUUAGCGAAGUGGCAAAGCUAACCAAUUUUACAUUGGGCAGCUGUAAGGAAACUGAAAAACACGCAACCGCUUCGUGCGGCGAGGUGUAACAUUCGAAAGAGUGUGAAGUCACUAAGCUAAGACCUGAAACCAUUUGAUGUAGGCCUGGGCAGGUUGAAAUCUUUCUACCGAAAGAUGGAGGACCGCAUUCAGUGCUAGUCUAACUGCUUGAGUGACCUGGGUCUGGUAGUAAAAGGCUAAUCGCAAAUGGUGAUAGCAGGCUCCUUCCGAAAAGCCCCUAAGGGCUGCGUGUUCGGAGACCGCUUGUGGGGUAGAGCUACUGAUUAGAAAUCUCCGGUUGGAAACUUCCGGCUUUCUUCUCAAACUCCAAAUCUACAAGCGUCAUAGAAGAGCACAGUAGGGGCGGCUGGGUAAGCCGGUCGUCCUAGAAGGGAACAACCUGAACUGUGGUUAAGGCCCGUAAGUACUAGUUAAGUGUGAAUCGUAAAAAGCGUCAUUGCCCUAAAACAAUGGGGAGGUUGGCUUAGAAGCAGCCAUCCUUUAAAGAAUGCGUAACAGCUCACCCAUCGAGGACAAUGGUCUUGAAAAUAAACUGGGCUAAACUAGUCGCCGAUACCACAGACUACAGUCUUGAAAGACUGUAAUGGAGUAGGAAGGUGGUUUGAUGGAGUCAAAGCAAGGCAGUAAUGUCUUGUGCAUCCGUUAAAUAUAUGGAUCCUUGCGCUAGUAAUAACGUAGAAAGGUGAGAAUCCUUUCCGCCGAAAGUGCCAGGGUUCCUUAGCACUGAUCGUCAGCUAAGGGUUAGCCGGUCCUAACUUCACGCGCAACACGUAGUGAAGGAAAGGGAAACACGUUCAUAUUCGUGUGCUGUGCAAAUACGUUUUUGGCAACAAUAGGCAGAAUUUCUGACACUUCGGGCUAGAUGAAGCGCGCUCGUCUGCGCGUUUAACAAGCAUAAAAGCAUGGAGAACUGUAAUGGUGAGAAGUGCUUUAAAGCUUGGAAUAGUCGAAAGAUUUCAUUAAGGCCUGGAGUCCAUGAAAAAGAAUUCUGCAAGAAUUUUGCACAACCGUACCGAGAUCCGAGAAGGGUGUCACUAGCUCAAUAGGCUAAGGCGUGUCAGGGUUACUUAAUUUAGGGAAAUCGGCAAUAUUGGCCCCGUAUCUUUGGUAUAAGGGGUGCCUGGUCCACGUUCUGGACUAGGUUUCAAUAACUAAAAGAGUCCGACUGUUUAUCAAAAACACAGGUGACUGCUAGAGCGAAAGCUUGCGAAUAGUCGCCGACUUCUGCUCACUGCCAGUACGUGAAAGCUUGUUUCAACGAGUCUAAGCGCUGGUAAAGAGCGGGCCUAACUCUGAGGCUCUCAUGGUAGCGUAAUACCUUGUCGGUUUAAUGCCGACUUGCACCAACGAAGUAACGAGAUUCUUGCUGUCCCAAAUUUAGGCCUGAUGAAAUCACUAGGGGGUGAAUAGGCCCCCAAACUCCAACGGGAAAAGAAGACCCCACAGAGGUUUACUACAGUCUGUUGCUGUGAUGUGGUUUUUCGUGUCUAGAGUAAAUGGGAGCGUCGAAGCAGUUUCGCCAGGAAUUGUGGAUGCGAAAGUGUAACACCAUUCAUGAAGAACUACAUUUCUAACAAUUAGCGAUAAUUGGACACCAAUUGAUGGGUAGUUUGACUGGGGUGGUACGCCCCUGAAAAUGUAUCAGGGGCGCCCAAAGGUCUGCUCACGCGAGUCAGAAAUUCGCGGUAGAGUGCAAAAGCAAAAGCAGGCUUAACAGUAAUCUACUCCGCAAGGAUUGCUGGAAGGAAACUUGGGUUUAGCGAACGUCAGUGUCUCCAAUCUUGGGAGCCUGGUCUAACAGUGAACUUACCUUGGGGGUAAUUGAGUGGUAGCGGGAGAGAGUACACAUCGACCCCGCUGUUUGCGACCUCGCCGUCGUCUCUUGGCAUCCUGGCCGUGCAUAAGCGGCCAAGGGUGGAGGUGUUAACUCAUUAAAGCCGAACGUUAGUUGGGUUAAGAACGGUGCGAGCCAGUUUGGUUUUUAUCUGUUGGAGUUGCUGAUUGCUUGAGGGGAAGCCCCGUUUAGUACGAGAGGAACGAUGGAGCGCAGCCACUGGUGUGCCAGUUGUCUGACAAGGCAGUGCUGGGUAGCUACGCUGUAGAUUAUAAGGGCUGAAAGCAUCUAAGCCCGAAGAAUCUCCUGAAAAGAAGCAAUCAUUCUGGAAACCAGUUAUCGCGAGAUGAUUGGUGAAGGAGUAGAGCGCCCAUAGAACAUGGGGUUGAUAGGUUACGGAUGUAAGCACGAAGCGCAAGCGACGUGUUAAGUCCAGUGAUACUAAAAGCUCAAAAAGUUCUCAUA
rnacentral:rRNA from 1 species